UACGGGGGGGGCUAGCGUUGCUCGGAAUCACUGGGCGUAAAGGGUGCGUAGGCGGGUCUUUAAGUCAGGGGGGAAAUCCUGGAGCUCAACUCCAGAACUGCCUUUGAUACUGAGGAUCUUGAGUUCGGGAGAGGUGAGUGGAACUGCGAGUGUAGAGGUGAAAUUCGUAGAUAUUCGCAAGAACACCAGUGGCGAAGGCGGCUCACUGGCCCGAUACUGACGCUGAGGCGCGAAAGCGUGGGGAGCAAACAGG
rnacentral:rRNA from 1 species